rnacentral:rRNA from 1 species
CAUGCAAGUCGAACGAUGAACCACUUCGGUGGGGAUUAGUGGCGAACGGGUGAGUAACACGUGGGCAAUCUGCCCUGCACUCUGGGACAAGCCCUGGAAACGGGGUCUAAUACCGGAUACUGAGCCUCGCAGGCAUCUGCGGGGUUCGAAAGCUCCGGCGGUGCAGGAUGAGCCCGCGGCCUAUCAGCUUGUUGGUGAGGUAAUGGCUCACCAAGGCGACGACGGGUAGCCGGCCUGAGAGGGCGACCGGCCACACUGGGACUGAGACACGGCCCAGACUCCUACGGGAGGCAGCAGUGGGGAAUAUUGCACAAUGGGCGAAAGCCUGAUGCAGCGACGCCGCGUGAGGGAUGACGGCCUUCGGGUUGUAAACCUCUUUCAGCAGGGAAGAAGCGAAAGUGACGGUACCUGCAGAAGAAGCGCCGGCUAACUACGUGCCAGCAGCCGCGGUAAUACGUAGGGCGCGAGCGUUGUCCGGAAUUAUUGGGCGUAAAGAGCUCGUAGGCGGCUUGUCACGUCGGUUGUGAAAGCCCGGGGCUUAACCCCGGGUCUGCAGUCGAUACGGGCAGGCUAGAGUUCGGUAGGGGAGAUCGGAAUUCCUGGUGUAGCGGUGAAAUGCGCAGAUAUCAGGAGGAACACCGGUGGCGAAGGCGGAUCUCUGGGCCGAUACUGACGCUGAGGAGCGAAAGCGUGGGGAGCGAACAGGAUUAGAUACCCUGGUAGUCCACGCCGUAAACGGUGGGCACUAGGUGUGGGCGACAUUCCACGUCGUCCGUGCCGCAGCUAACGCAUUAAGUGCCCCGCCUGGGGAGUACGGCCGCAAGGCUAAACUCAAAGGAAUUGACAGGGGCCCGCACAAGCGGCGGAGCAUGUGGCUUAAUUCGACGCAACGCGUACACCUUACCAAGGCUUGACAUACACCGGA